UCCUCCCAAGGUUCAGUUGUAGAAUUUACAGCAACUAGAUGAAUUAACAGGAUCUCCAGCAGACAUUGCAGCUGAUGUAGUGGGAGAUAAUCCUAGACAAAAUCAGAUUAAGAAAAGGGUAACAAGGUUCCUUUUGCUUCUCCUAAUUCCUUACAAUUACGUUGCAUCCUUAUGUUAGUUUGCAUUGAGACUCUGGAGAAGAUUCUGUGAGAAUAUUGUACAGUUGAUCUUCUCAUCAAAGUAUCAGCUUUUCUAAACGUGUCAAUCAGCUACAGCAAGAAGUACCCUAUAUUACAAUAUAUGCCAUCUGAUUCACCUCCUUACAAGGAUCAUCUUUGUAACCUUCUCUCAUGUUACAUCAAAGAGCAAGAUGACCUCUACGCAACACCAGGAAUGAAAAGAAUUCCUGAAUUGUGAGCCCAGCCGCCAGGCAAUUUCAGAAGCCUUCCUGUUGCUGCCUGUCUCCUGUCUUUUGAUGAGUUGGCUCAUUGUUUGGGUUUUUUUUAUUUAAGAGCAACAUUUACCUACAGCAUAGGAAUGCUCUGAAGAUUAAUUCGUUUGCAUGCCGUGUGAUAUAUAUGCUGGGUAACAGAUAUCAGUUGUGGAAGAUAGAGUGCUGCUAGCAAGCUGUCCAGGACAAACUGCCUGAUGGUGUCUGUUGACUUUAAGCUCCUUGCUUUGUCACUGUUCACAGAACAAAUCAGUGCAGAAAGGAAAGGGUCUCAGGGAUGGCCUUCUCUUUCUGAUCCACAGUAGAAAAAUGCCCUGUGGCCCAUAGCCAGAAGACACUUGUGCAGACUGCUUCCAUGUCCUUAUGGAAGGUCAGGUGUUGAGCCUUGCAUAAAUUUCUACUUCAUUCCUGCCUGGGCUUCUCUGUCAAAAGUACUUUUAGCUCAGGUUGGAACUUAAUGUAUACGCAAAGAUGUUAAUCAGACAAACUUGACCCUCAAGCAAAACAAAGGAUGAUCAGUUUGUCUGUAUAGGUGUAGCCCAUAUAUCAUGUUUCACUUUAUUAUUGAAUUCUAAUUUGUGGGGCUAAUGGACUCCUUAAAAAAAAGAAACACUUAGAAAUCCGUGCCUCCUCAAACAUAAGCAGUUUUAAGCCAGAUCUUAGUACAAAACCAGCUAAUUAUUAAUAGAAAUAUUACAAUGAAUACCUCAAACUCAAAAUGUCAUUAUUCUUUUUGUCUGCAAUAACAAUAUCCUGUGCUCCAUCCAUAGCAUGAAAAUUGAGGUACUUUCGCAUAUCUUAAUAAAUUAAAUAAACUUUUCUAGAACGAAAACUAUACCGAAUACAACAUGAAGCAGAAUUAAACACUCAUUAAUUCUGUUUAGAGAGAUGCAUAAGGGAAGGAAUGUUUAUUUUAUUAAAUUUAUAAAAUAAGUAGAGAACAUAAUAGACCAUUCAUCCCUGUACCAGGUAAGACCAAGUUCAAUGUACCUCAUUAUCUUGUCUCUUUUAUAUCUCCUUUAAUGCAUACAGGCAUGUUGUAACCCAGCUCUGCAGAAGGCCUAGGAAAAAUGGCAGGACAAGAUCAAAGACUUGUUUGAUCAUCAAACAUUAGCUAGGAGAAGAUACCUACGCAAGAAAAAUUAUAUUUCAUAGAAUAAUAGAAUGCCAAGGGUUGGUAUGGACCUUAAAAAUUAUCUAGUCUCAACGUCCCUGCCAUAUGC